GAUGAAGAACGUAGCGAAAUGCGAUACGUAGUGUGAAUUGCAGAAUUCAGUGAAUCAUCGAAUCUUUGAACGCACAUUGCGCCCGCUGGUAUUCCGGCGGGCAUGCCUGUUCGAGCGUCAUUUCAACCCUCAAGCCCCCGGGUUUGGUGUUGGGGAUCGGCUCUGCCCUUCUGGGCGGUGCCGCCCCCGAAAUACAUUGGCGGUCUCGCUGCAGCCUCCAUUGCGUAGUAGCUAACACCUCGCAACUGGAACGCGGCGCGGCCAUGCCGUAAAACCCCAACUUCUGAAUGUUGACCUCGGAUCAGGUAGGAAUACCCGCUGAACUUAAGCAUAUCAAUAAGCGGAGGA
rnacentral:misc_RNA from 1 species